GAUGAACGCUGGCGGCGUGCUUAACACAUGCAAGUCGAACGGUGAAGCAGAGCUUGCUCUGUUGUUCAGUUGCGAACGGGUGAGUAACACGUGAGUAACCUACCCCUGUCUCUGGGAUAAGCGCUGGCAACGGCGCCUAAUACUUGCUAUGUGCUGUGACCGCCUGCUUAGCUGAUGGGAAGAUUGUUCUGUAUGGGUUGGGUUUACGGCUUAUCAGCUUGUUGGUGAGGUAUUGGCUCACCACGGCGUAGCCGGGUAGCCGUCCUGAGAGGGUGACCGGGCACAAGGGGACUGAGAGACGGCCCAGACGCGUACGGGAGGCAGCAGUGGGGAAUAUUGCACAAUGGGCGAAAGCCUGAUGCAGCGACGCCGCGUGAGGGAUGACGGCCUUCGGGUUGUAAACCUCUUUUAGCAGGGAAGAAGCGAAAGUGACGGUACCUGCAGAAAAAGCGCCGGCUAACUACGUG
rnacentral:rRNA from 1 species